rnacentral:tRNA from 2 species
GGGCCGCUAGCUCAGCUGGUAGAGCAGCAGACUCUUAAUCUGCGGGUCGCAAGUUCGAUCCUUGCGCGGCUCA